rnacentral:lncRNA from 1 species
GGAUUUCUUUCAGCACUGGGUGGGGAGCUCCCGCUGACUGUCCCCCCCCCUGUCCCCAGGCCUGCUGCUGCAGGAGGACCGGCUGGACGCUGUCUCCCUCCUCUGCCUCACCGCCCUGCCCAGCUUCUGGCUCCUUUUUGGGGCGGCCGUGGCGCUGGAGGUGGCCCCGGCCUGGGAAGGCGUCCUGCGCUACGACGGCUCCCUCUGGGGCUGCGUCCUGCUCAGCUGCCUUGGCUCCGUCCUCUACAACCUGGCCAGCUUCUGCGUCCUCUCCCUCACCUCCGCCCUCACCAUCCACCUCCUGGGCAACCUCACCGUGGUGGGCAACCUCCUGCUCUCCCGCCUGCUCUUCGGCAGCCACCUGAGCGGGCUCAGCUACCUGGGCAUCGGGCUGACGCUGGCUGGGAUGUUCAUGUACCACCAGCCGCAGCUCGUCGCGAGGCGCUGGGCAGCGUGGCCGGGCCGUGCCCCCCACAGGAGCGAAUAGGGCUGGGGUGGCCACGGGGACGGCGGAGAGCACUGGGCACAGCCCUGUGCGUGUGUGCCAGUGGGCACGGCCCUGCGUGCACACGUAUGUGCUGGUGUGCGUGGCACGGUGCACGUGUGUGCGUGCUGUAUGUGUGGCUCUGUGUGCACAUCUAUUGGUGUGCAUGGUACUGGGCACGCAUACACCUGCUGCUGCUCAGAGCACUGUAUGCACGUGUGUGUGCACAGCUCUGUGUGUGUACGUGUGUGCCGGUGUGCACAGGCCCUUUGUGCACGCGUGUGCUGGUGUGCAGAGCUCUGGGUGUGCACGUGUGCGCCGCAGUGCGCAGAGUCUGUGUGUGCAAGGGGGUGUCUGUGUGCGUGGGGAAAGUGCGUGCAGGUGUGCAAAGGCUCUGCAAGAGUGAGUGGAUCUCUGGCGUGUGUGCAGGGAGCACAUGAGUGUUGGUGCACAAAGGCUCUGUGUGUGCAAGCAGGUCUCACACAUGUAGGCGUGUGUGUGCCGGUGUGCACAGGCUCUGCACGUGUGAGUGGCUCUCUCUGCACGGCUCUGUGCAUGGGGCACGUGUGUGUCGGUGUGUACAGCCACGGGGGGCACAAGUGCACGUGCAGAGCCUUGUGCGUGUGUGUGUGUGCACAGCCUCCGUGUGCAAGCACCUCUCCGUGCACAGCAGAUGUGUGUGUGUGUGUGCACGUGUGUGUGCAUCACUACUGAGCUCUGCUGGGUGGAGUAAGCCCGGUGCACGCUUGGGGCACGUGCACGCACGCCUCGUGCCCCCUGCACGAGGGACGGAGCGCGCCGGACCCUCGUGGUGCUGCGUGGUGGCGCGGUGCCGGUGUCCCCAGCGGGCGUUACGCUCCUCCAGGGCUCACCGACCUCUGACAGGGCAGUGGCACAGCACGUGCAAAGCACGUGAGCGCCAGCCCAGCUGCGUGCACACCGGCCACGGCUGCACACCCGCAGGUGCUCUGCCAUAGGAGCGUGGCCUGGCUCUGGUGGCACUCGUCCUGAAAUAAAGCUCUAUUUUUGUUGUACUCCUACCGUGGC